CCCUUAGACGUUCUGGGCCGCACGCGCGCUACACUGACCAGUGCAACAAGCAUCCGUCCUUGGCCGACAGGCCCGGGCAAUCUUUGAACGCUGGUCGUGAUGGGGAUAGACUUUUGCAAUUUUUGGUCUUCAACGAGGAAUUCCUAGUAAACGCAAGUCAUCAACUUGCAUUGAUUACGUCCCUGCCCGUUGUACACACCGCCCGUCGCACCUACCGAUUGAAUGGUCCGGUGAAGCCUCCGGAUUGGCGCGCACCUCGGUGCCGCCGAGAAGUUGGCUAAACCUUACCAUUUAGAGGAAGGUGAAGUCGUAACA
rnacentral:rRNA from 1 species